rnacentral:rRNA from 1 species
AGUGAACGCUGGCGGUAGGCCUAACACAUGCAAGUCGAACGGCAGCACAAUAAGAGCUUGCUCUUACGGGUGGCGAGUGGCGGACGGGUGAGGAAUACAUCGGAAUCUACUUUUUCGUGGGGGAUAACGUAGGGAAACUUACGCUAAUACCGCAUACGACCUACGGGUGAAAGCAGGGGAUCUUCGGACCUUGCGCGAUUGAAUGAGCCGAUGUCGGAUUAGCUAGUUGGCGGGGUAAAGGCCCACCAAGGCGACGAUCCGUAGCUGGUCUGAGAGGAUGAUCAGCCACACUGGAACUGAGAUACGGUCCAGACUCCUACGGGAGGCAGCAGUGGGGAAUAUUGGACAAAGGGCGCAAGCCUGAUCCAGCCAUACCGCGUGGGUGAAGAAGGCCUUCGGGUUGUAAAGCCCUUUUGUUGGGAAAGAAAAGCAGCAGGUUAAUACCCCGCUGUUCUGACGGUACCCAAAGAAUAAGCACCGGCUAACUUCGUG